rnacentral:tRNA from 1 species
GGGUGUUUAGCUCAAUGGUAGAGAACUCAGUUGGUAUUUGAUGAGUAAAGGGUUUGAUUCCCAUAGCCCCA